UUUAUUUUUGUCUUGUCUCAAGUGCAGGCAGUUCUCUAAGUCUUGUAGGAGGUCACAGUGUUUCAGCUGGGUUUUUUGUUAUUUUCUGUGGGCAUGUCUGCCUUAGCAGUAAGGGAUUUAUGGUAAAUCACAAAUACUCUACUGCAGCUGAUCCACUCAGGAAACAUUUCUGCUUGGGCACGCUCAGGAUCUCACUGACUUGAGCCUCCAGCAGUAGGGAUGUGUUGGGAUGCUCAGGGCUGGUUUUAGAUAGACAAAACCCCCUGAAGCAUCAGAUUUCAGUAUCCAUAGAGAAGUAGGAAAUCAAAGGGCUCUGAGCUCUUGGCCCACGUGUGAGAGAGAAGGUGUAAGAAGUGUCGUGGAACAAAGAAUCCUGUCAGGAAAUGCUUCUCUCCAGCUAUGAGAAGACACUGAAGGGACUCAGUGGUGGUGCUGGCUGAAUGUUGUGACACAGAAGCACUUCAGACUUUUACUGAACCACGUGUGAGGAGCUGUUUGUCAGAGCCCUGAGCAAGGCCUUUGUCUUCCUUGUGAUGAGGAACUUCUGUGACUUCCAGCAAAGCGUCAGAAUGGGGAUCCCAAUUGCAGAGGCAAGGCAGGAGGCUGUUGGUGUAUCACAUUCAAAGCACAACAAUCUCAGCAGAGACACGGGGGACUCCUGCCAGGGGCUCUCUGGGACGUCCCUACACCAUUUACACGUGUAAAUCUGCAAUGUUCAUGUUCAGCACUGCUCCUGCCGGGUGCAGCCCCGCGUUUGUAACGGAGUUUGCAUCACCACAGCUUGUUCCAGGCUGGCAGGGAACCUGGUGCACCUGGAACUCCACCCAAAGGAUGGCUUCUCCAAGAGGCUGAGCAGCGUCCCUGUGUGUGCAUGUGCUCCCUGCUGGAGCCCUGAUGAAGCCCUGAAGAGCAGAUGGAAGUGCUGGGAUGCAAACAAAGCUCCAUCUUUGAGGGAACCCUCGGUGUGAAUGGACUUGUUCAGCUCUUCUGCCAAAGAAUCCGACUUUGCCCCAGUAAAAGGAAAACUAUGGUGGGUUUGCCUGGCCUAGACACUGUCCUGGUCACUCAGGAGUGAUUUAUUUUAGCCUGUAUAGAUCCAAUGUUUUUCCUUAAUGCCUGGUAAGUCUUCUGCCACCCAGAAUUCCCGUGGUGAAUCAGUUGAUGUAUAGAAGCAUUUUAUGUCAGCCCAAAGCAGACUACUUUUCUGCUUCAGUAAGAAGACACAAUUCCAUCUAGUUUUCUGUUCUUGAUUAUUUCCCCCAAGGCUAAACACAAAGUAUUACCAAUCUGAGCUGUAAUCAUAGUCAGUAAUUGCAUUUAAGGGGUCAGCACACAUAAGCAGCAUUUGCAGUGAACAUUUUCACAAGCGCAGUCACAUCACAAAUCAGGCUUCUUCUCACAACCAGCCUCACCACCAAUACAGAGGCGCUGCUCCUCUAUCCAGCUAAGGAUGUUCCUCCCAGAGGUGCUUUCCUGUGCUCUAGAUACAAUUGAGCUGAUUUCCAGAGGACAGUUGUGCAGGGUUUGCUUGCUGCCUUGGAAUUGGAGCAGUGAGUGCAGUGAACACAGACUUGGAAAAGAAAUGUCUCUGUUGUAUUUAACUUGAUGUGGUUGGCAAUGCAGACGAGGUUCUAUAUGAUGUGCAGAUCAAAAAUUUUGAUUUUGCCUCAGGUAAAUUUGUUUCAUCAACUACAUGUUGGGACCCCAGAUGCAUUAGGGCUUUAGUAUUAGGCAGGGAAAAAUAAUUGGAGGAUGAAAAAUGUUCCUGUACAAAUUCAAAUUAUCUAAGAGAAGCAGGACAGGUAACAGUCAAGAUCAUGAAGAUGCAAUGGAGGAAUUACAUGUAUUAUGUAUGUAAAUAGCUUGUAAUGAUUUUUUUUUAAUGGUUUGUAUGCAAAUUGUAUUGUAAUAGCAACAGCGAGAACUUGCCCACUUACAGAACUUGGCUUUAGAAAUGCAAAGACCCAGGGGAAAAAUAUCUGUGACCUAAAGCAGGUGUGGUAUCACCUCAUCCCUCAGUGGCCAUCUCCACAUCUCACUGGGAGCACUGGGGCCCUGUCUGGCCCCCUGUGACUGUCACACACAGCUGCUGUGGCCUCAACUCGUGCCACUCCGUGCUUUGAAGCUGCAUCUUCCCCUGGAGGGAGCCUUCAUCCCUGAUGGCAGAACACAAAUUGGAAGGAAGAAGCUCUGUGUGUUCCUGCCUGGCUUCCCUGGCCCUGUGCAGAGAUUCCUGUCUGCCAUGGGCACUGCAGGUUUGCCCAGUUCCCAGAUUUCCUUUAUCCAGAGAGACAUUUGGGCCUCUCUUUGCCUUGUACCGAGAAGCCGAGGGGUUAUGCCUUUGCACUGAGGCACUUUGGGUACCUUCACCUGGGUUUUACUCAGUCUGCUUUGCCCUGGAGGGUAUUUUUUUCACAGCUGCACCCCUAAAAACUCAGAUGUUAAGCAGUGGAGAAAUUUGUUUUCUGGGUGAUUCCAGGCAAGCAGAGAUAAGUGCUGCUGGCUCUCCUGCCAGUGCAGGAUCUGCACCAGUUUAGGAACCACCAGUGAGCUCUGUGAGGUGAAAAAGGAAAGUCCUCUUUCCUUUCUUUUCCUUUUUUUUUCCUUUCCCCUCCCUGCCUGGGCUGAGAGCAGCAGAUCCCAAAGCAGUGUCACUCUCCAGAUGCUCCUGCUGCCUUUUCCCACAGGUGGGAUCUUCACCUGACCCCUGCUCGAGGAUGCUGAUGGCACCCCAGGAAGGGUAAAGAGCUCUUGGCAGCAUUUCACAGGAUUUCCUCAGCCAUAUCAUCUAAUCUUUAGUUCACAAUGCUUGAUAUUGUUCCUAUUUUAUAUUUAUUUUAUUUUGACUGCUACACUUAAGCUUGUGGGUGUGUCUUUUUGGUUUUUUGGUUGGUUAGUUGGUUUUUCCCCCCCUCCUCCCCUCUCUUUUUUCCCUGAUGGUUUUUGCUCCAGAGUUUUGUCACCCAGACCUCCCAAUUCACUGAGUUUUCAACACUCACGAGCAUUUAGCAUCACGUCCUCCUGAUACUGCAGGACUGUGAUCCCCACACGUGCUGAUAUUUCUGUGUGCAUUCUAGACUAAGUAAUAUUUCACAGGAGUAAAAACUUACAAACAACAGCACAUGAAUAUUCUGGUAAAGAAUUUUUCACUUAGAACGUUGUCAUUUUCUAUAUGUGUACAAUAUUAGUUGCAAAUGCAUUUAUAUUUCUAGAUAUAUAUUUAGUGUGUUAAAGCCUUUUUGUUGUACACCCAUAGGACUAGGUUAAAAAUUUGGAUAAAAUACACAGUUCUUAAAUAGGAAA